GGCUUUGAUGGCCGAUCGACGGCGAGGAGAAGAGCCGACUGGCUGCGGCACAUAAGGUAAAUAUCAGAUUUUACUUCGCUAUGUGGUGGGCGCUAAACAUGGUGUUCAACAUCUGCAACAAGAAGGUUCUCAACGCCUUCCCCUACCCUUGGCUCACCUCCACGCUCUCCCUCGCUGCCGACUCCCUCAUAAUGCUCAUCUUCUAGCCUGCUAGGGUUACCUAGCCGCCCAAGAUUGACUUGGGCUUUUGAAAAUCCUUAACUCCGGUCCCAAGGUUUGGGCAGCUGGGUGGCAGAAGGCCAUCUCAGAGAUUGGUCCUCAACUUGUUUGGUAAAACUGUCCUUUCUUCAUUAAUUUUGUUUGAAAUAGACUUUGCUUUCUUCAUUUCUCUAGAAUUGGUUUCACUCUUUUCUAGAACAGGUGGGUGGCAGCAUAGAGUGUGUUCUAUCCUUUCUCCUAGUCAACACAUUUUGCAAGCGAUAGCUGCAAGUUCAUUAAGGAUACCAAUGCUAAUAAGCAAAAGAUAUAUCAUUUGAUCAUUAUUAGACUUUAUUUACUUGUGCACUUUUAGACUGUCUUCUUGAAAUACUCAUCUUGGAUCAUUUGUUCCACCAAUUGGUUUUGGGUCAUUCACAUAGGUUAGAGAACUACAACACAAGAGCUCGCUUAAGUUCCAACUAGAUUGGGCGACCAUUCUUAAUGGAACUCAGGAAGGUACUUUCCAAUGGGUAUGUAACUUGUACUGUUAUGUUUUUAAAAUUGAAAAUCAUAUUAAGAAUUGCUCACUUUGUCGCUAUGCUUUUUAUCGAAUUUUGUUACAAUGCAGCGUUAUAUCUUUUGAGGCGGCAACCUUUUGCAUUUCAUGUAACUUGUUUUGAACUGCCAAGAGUCAGGUUGUCAAUGGUGGCUCCUAAUUAGUCGAUGCAAAAUAUUUGUGGAUAUGUAUAUAUAGCAGCAUGAGUGUGAGGAUAAAUAGAAGUUCGAUCUUGCCAACUCAGAUAUGAAACUUGUAGAUGAGACUUUUCAGAUCAAACGGUAAAUGCCACAUCAUAGAACCAUGAUGCAUCAAUAAAGAAGCACUUGUACUUGUACCUUCUAUGAUAUAUGCCUUGUUGAAAGUUCCUAAGCCACCUGUGAAUUUUAUUCAGCUUACAAAAUGAUUGAUUAUCCAUCAAUUCACGUGAUCAUGCCUUUAGCUUACAAAAAUGGCCCCUGCCAAUUUCUGUUUGUUCAUCAAAAUGAUUGAUAAUCUUGUGAUGGUGAUUCAGUGGUGGUAAUUUAGCUUGGAACUCGCCGGAUAGUUAUUGGUCAUUCUUGAAGCUUGUACUGACACAUUCAUAUCCCUGUCACAUUUUGUUUGAGGCUUUCUUCUGUUUGCCCAAUGGAUGAGUCUCGACUUAUUGGUGUUGAAGCUCAAGGCUUGAUUCAGUUUUGAGGAAAGUACUUCCUUCUCCUCAGACUGGUUUGGGUUAUUCUAAAUUGCUAAAUGUUGCAGUGCAUUUAGUCCUCUUUGCAUAUAUUACUUGCUGUAAUCACAUCAAAGUGGCUGAAGUCAGUAGCUCAUUUAAUUGGUAAUUCUUUUUUUAGCUAAAUUCCAUAGACAUGGCAUUCAUUAUACAAUAUCUUUAUUCAAAUUCAGUUUUCCUGGCGGCUGCUGCUACUACUAGCUAAGUUUUAUCUUGGCUUUCUAUCGGUCUGUGUAUACAUGGUUUCCAAAUUCCAUCUCAUAUGAUUACUAUGUUUCACCUAUGGUGACAAUUGUUUCAUCUUUCAAUUUUUCUUUCAUGUACGGUUAUAAGUUUAGAGAUCCUUUUUCAGUAGUGUCAUAAACAGAUUAUGCAUUUGUACAUUGCUGCAAGCAUCUUAUUAUUUCAAACAUGUACAGGUACCAUUGGGGCCAGUUAUUGGUAUCAUAAAUGUUGCACUAUCAGUUGUUAAAGAGUUAAGUUGGAGGUAUAAAUGUUGUACCAUAAGGUAGAGCUUAGGAUGGAUCAAUUUUCUUUCACCUCGUUCCUACACAAGUUUACGUUGAUUUGCCUUAACUAUUCCCCUUUCAGUGUUUCUGACCUUGUUAAUGACCUGUUCAACUUCUCAAGUGGCUACACUUAACUUUAUGCAUGAAGUGCUAGCAAAAUUAAUUUUUGAUGA